rnacentral:lncRNA from 1 species
GGGAGAAAACGCGGAAGGCGGCUCUGGACGCGGGCGGUGCUCACCCCCGGUUAUCCUCCACCGUCCCCGCAAGCCGUUUCCAGGCAGUAAUCCCGGGCGGGCGAGGUCCCCUGCGUGCCGGCGCGGCCCCGAGUGUGCCCUGACGCCCAGUGUGCUACUUCACUUACUCCGAACAGUCCUAUUGUUCCUCCCAGCAGAGCCAUUGAAACGUUUGCAAAAUAGCAGAGGGUUCCAGAUGGGAGGAGCCAUUGUUCAAAGUCCAGACCACCCAGCGGGCAUGUCAGACCCGUAAGACGUUAUCCCCAACGGAAGAAACAAUGGCAGAGAAAGGAAAUCAUGUGUUUGCUGGGAGUGAAUUUUCCAGAAGGCACCUUGGCCUCAUGACACGGAAGGUCUGAUUCCAAUUCUGCCAGUGAAGAACUGAGAGACCCUGGACAAGUUGUCUCGCCUUUCUGAUCAAUUGCUAUACCUAAAAUAGAUAACCAAGGACAGAAAUUACAUUCCUCCGUAGAACCUUGUAAUGGUUUUAAGUAACUGAAGGACCAAGAAGAUAUUUACUCUUCGGCUAAAAUAUGGAGUCAUGCUCUGCCGCCCAGGCUGGAGUGCAAUGGCGCAAUCUUGGCUCACUACAACUUCUGCCUCCUGGGUUCAAGCGGUUCUCCUGUCUCAGCUGAAUAACUUUUAUUAUUAGGGCAUGAGCAUGUAACCCAACCCCAGUGGAGGAGUUUAAAGAUCGCUGAGAGACUUCGUGUACAAACACAAGCAUUUGCUGAACAUGUUCCUGAAUUAAAUGUGAGGGACGGUUUGGGAAUUAGAAAUCUUCUGGGACAAUUUAUGAGUUUAAACAGCUAUCUGAAUCUGAAGUUUCUCCAGAGCAAUUCAAGUUGUUUCUCUCCUAGAGAAGGAACAAAAACGUAUAUGGGAUCUCAUUCUGUCGCCCAGGCUGGAGUGCAGUGGUGCAUUCACAGUUCACUGCAGCCUCAAACUCCUGGGCUCACGCGAUCCUCUUGCCUUAGCCUCCUAAGUCUCUGGGAUUACAGGCACGAGCCACUGCACCCAGCCUAUCUCAACUAUUUUGAGAGUGAAAACUUUGGUUUGAGGGUGAUUUGGUGGCCUAAUGCAUUUGAGACAGGGAAGACCUCGUGGGUUGAGCACAGUGGCAGCUUCUGGAAAAUCAGAAGGCCCAUGAAGGACUGGAUAUGAGUGGAAAAAAAUCAGAAUACUCAACUUCCGGUCCGUUUGACAAUUAUGAUCAUUUACUGUCUUUGUAUUUCUCAUCUAUAAAAUAGGGAGAGACAGGGGAAGAGACGCUGCUGGACUGGAGUGAUGGGCUCACAGGCUCAAAGCAUUAUGCCUGUGCGAGGAGCCUUCGAGAUCACCCAGUCCAACAUGCUCAUUUCACAAGUGAGCAACUUGCUACUUAUAUGAAAUAACCUGUUCAAGGACACACUGCUUGUUAUUGAAAGAACCAGCAAGUUACUAAAUUUUCAGGACUGUGUUCAUCUCUAAGGUACCAUUUCGUUCUAUAUCUAGUAUUGUACAAUUAUAUUUUUACAUAUAUGUACUAUAAUAUCUAGUAUUUUAAAAUUUUAUUUAUAUAUGUGUCCUACAAUAUAUAGUAGUAUAAAAUUAGAUUUUACACAUAUGUAAAAUCAUGUAGAUUUUACAUAUGUGUAAAAUCAUGCAGAAUCAUGACCUUGAGACCAUAAGUAUAUUCUAAAUUAUGCCCACUACUAUUUUAACAGUGUUUAUUUUAUUGUAGUCUAAUUAUUUGAAAAUGAUAUUGGAGGUACAAUGUGUGUGUCCCAGGCCCAUUAGCCCAUUAUUAUGCCUUGAGGUUACCUCAUUUGUGUUAUCCACAUAAUUAUGUAUCAGUGCUUACUGGCCAGACAGUAGCCUUGCUUGAGGUGUCCCCAAUUAUUUCUGAGGAUUUAUCUGGUUCUUCCUCUCUGACUUUUCGCCUUACUGCUACAAUGCUGUGUCUGCUGCUACUGAUUAGCAUGGGUCAUGAGAUGGUUGCCCUGUUAGGCACACCUAUUUCCAUGACUGGUGCUCCCUGGAAAGGGGACACCCCUUGGAGAGGAGACUUUGCUUUCCUAGAGUCUAAGGACUGUAUUUAUUCUUUGGGGAGAGUGGAGGUCUUCAUUACUGCUGUUCUAGACAUUGGCCACAACAGAAAACACUUGUCUUUGUGUGUCUUUUUGCUUCCAUUGUUCCUGCCGACACCACAGACCCUCACCAUGCCUUGGAACCAGAGCUCCAAGCUCUGCCUGCCCCAGAGAGAGAUGGAGAUGACAAUUUCAACCACACAGGGCUUUCACAGGGAUUAGAGAUGAUGUAUACAAAUGCCUGGCAGGAAUUCAGUAAAUGAAAACUCUUAUUAUUUUAGAUUUCUUUACCACUGAGGUAAAAGCACUGCUAGGUAGCUGGGUUGAUGCAUUUGGAUGUCAUUUUCUUCAAUUUUCAGUAUUUGCUUUUUGCUUCAGGUGUGCUUCGAGUGUGGUGAAUUAGCCAAAAGGCGAUCAUGAGGGAAGGAAGGAGUUUACUCAUUCACUCAUUAAUUCAUUUGUUCAUUCAGCAAACAUGUAUGAUAGAACAUGCUGCUAGAAGAAAACACCUGAGACCUGAUAAUUUAUAAACAACAGAAACUUAUUUCUUUUUUUUUUUUUGUGACAGAGGCUCUGUCGCCCAGGCUGGAAUGCAGUGGUGCGAUCUUGGCUCACUGCAAGCUCCGCCUCCCGGGUUCACACCAUUCUCCUGCCUCAGCUUCCCGAGUACCUGUGACUACAGGCAUGCACCACCACGCCCGGCUAAUUUUUGUAUUUUUGUAGAGAAGGGGUUUCACCAUGUGGGCCAUGGUUGGCCAGACUGGUCUCAAACUCCUGACCUCAGGUGAUCCUCCCACCUUAGCUUCUCAAAGUGCUGGGAUUACAGGCGUGAGCCACUGCGCCCCACCUAGCUAAUGUAUUCCUUCUAAACUCAUAGCUGGUGUGUGUGCGUGCGCGCGCGCGCGCGCGUUUCCCUUCAAAUGAGUGGUUAGACUAAGAUCAGGUGUUACAAACUGAGGACCUGAUAUUCUGAAGUGACUGAAAUGCUUAAGUCUAUUAACAAAAUGUGAAUUAACAUUUAAAAAUAAAGCGAAAA